AUUGGGGUCAAAGGUCACUGUUGGCAGGCCUCCAAUCACAGGAGAGGAGCUCAGAGACUGACAGCUCUAAAAGAACAAUAAACAAAGAGACCAGGCUACCUGAACAACAGGCUAGCAUCGUUACAGAGACCUGGCUACCUAAACAUCAGGCUAGCAUCGUUACAGAGACCAGGCUACCUGAACAACAGGCUAGCAUCGUUACAGAGACCAGGCUACCUGAACAACAGGCUAGCAUCGUUACAGAGACCUGGCUACCUGAACAACAGGCUAGCAUCGUUACAGAGACCUGGCUACCUAAACAUCAGGCAGACUUUCAGAUACCAGAGAACACCAACAUUACUGUGGCAAUCAAAUGGACAACAUAAAUACUGUAUACAACUGAUGUGAUUUUGUCCUCAAAGACAAACAGAACCAAUGGGUGUUAGUUACCUGUAGGAAGGUGAUGUGGUCCUCUGUGUGGGAGAGCUGGUCCAGUUCAGCAUCUCUCCU